rnacentral:lncRNA from 1 species
AUGGAGAAAUGGUUCCAGUUGUAUGUUACUGACACUAUGUUUACAAUCCUUCAAUCAUAUUGCAUUAUAAUGGAGAAAUGGUUCCAGUUGUAUGUUACUGACACUAUGUUUACAAUCCUUCAAUCAUAUUGCAUUAUAAUGGAGAAAUGGUUCCAGUUGUAUGUUACUGACACUAUGUUGAAACACUGGCCACUGAUUUCUUGGAAAGCACUUCAGAUCUGUAGAUUUUAUGAAACAAAUCUUCACUCUUAAGCCACUUAACAUUUUUGGGGGGUUGCAUAGAGUCUCCUUUGGGGGGGCUUCUCCCUCCCUUUAGCCCCCCUCGGCUUGGAGGUUGUAUUCAGUUGGAUAAGGGGCCAGGCUCUGGGCUCCUGGUGGCUUUUUUUUUUCCUCACUGCCCCUCCUUUGGUCUUUGGUCUCCCCCCAACCCACCACCUUUUGCUUUUCGUAUGUGUGCAUUUUUAAAAAUAAAUCCUGAUUUUGGAAGCUGAGCCGGGGAAAAUGGGCAACGGUGAUUGGGACCGAAGGGGAGUCUCUCCGUCACUGUUGCUGGGACGCGUGCCUGUGCUGGUGUCUUAGAGCAAGAGCCUCCCUGAGCUUUCGGAGUGGAAGGUAAGGAAGGGGGUCCGGGGGUCACCUUCCCUCUGCCGGGGGUCGCCCCCCGUGAAGCUUUGGGCUUAAUGUUUGAGAAGGGAGGAAAAAGAAAGGAAACGCUGUUGCUGGCGGAUGGGGAGGCUGUGAGCAAAUCCGGCUGUCUAAACGCCGCAGUUGAAAAGUUAGAGAAGUCUGGUUUUCAAGAGAGGUGCUGGGUCGGAAGGAAUAAGUAGAGAGAGCUAGAAAACCUGGCAGUUUUGUGUGAUUGGGGUAAUUUUAUCGGGGGAAAAAUUUUAGGUUAAAAGGAAGUUAAGAAAAGGCAGUGGGUCUUCUAUUGGGGGGAAAAUCUGUGGAGUGAUGGCGCCGUCUAUGUUCGACUAAACUAAAGUGUCACCCAGAAAAUCAGUUUUGAGAAUAGCUAAACUCAAUGUUGGUUUGCUUCUCAGCAAGAGGUAAAUAAAUAAAUAAAUAAAUAAAACAUCCUUGACACCUCCGUGGCCAGCCUUUACCCCCGCCCCCACCCCUUCUUUAAAAUGGAAAUACAGUUUUUUGAACGGGCCCUGCAGUCUAAAGGGGGGUAGGGGAAUGAUUUUUUUUCUUAUUAUUUACAACAAAACAAGACUCUGUACUCCAGACUGAUUAAAAAUAAAGAGCAUUAUAUUGAGGGCGCUCUCUCGAGCAGGCAUUAAAGUGAAUUCAGAGCUAUUUCCUCAUUCUUUCUGAUCAUUGAUGAGCACGGCAUUGCAGACAUGCACUGUCAAAUAAAUGGAAGCAAAAGUACCAAUUUCAUUAAGAAAAGACAUACGACCUCUU